rnacentral:rRNA from 1 species
GAUGAACGCUGGCGGCGUGCCUAAUACAUGCAAGUCGAGCGAACAGAUAAGGAGCUUGCUCCUUUGACGUUAGCGGCGGACGGGUGAGUAACACGUGGGUAACCUACCUAUAAGACUGGGAUAACUUCGGGAAACCGGAGCUAAUACCGGAUAACAUUUGGAACCGCAUGGUUCUAAAGUGAAAGAUGGUUUUGCUAUCACUUAUAGAUGGACCCGCGCCGUAUUAGCUAGUUGGUAAGGUAACGGCUUACCAAGGCGACGAUACGUAGCCGACCUGAGAGGGUGAUCGGCCACACUGGAACUGAGACACGGUCCAGACUCCUACGGGAGGCAGCAGUAGGGAAUCUUCCGCAAUGGGCGAAAGCCUGACGGAGCAACGCCGCGUGAGUGAUGAAGGGUUUCGGCUCGUAAAACUCUGUUAUUAGGGAAGAACAAACGUGUAAGUAACUGUGCACGUCUUGACGGUACCUAAUCAGAAAGCCACGGCUAACUACGUGCCAGCAGCCGCGGUAAUACGUAGGUGGCAAGCGUUAUCCGGAAUUAUUGGGCGUAAAGCGCGCGUAGGCGGUUUCUUAAGUCUGAUGUGAAAGCCCACGGCUCAACCGUGGAGGGUCAUUGGAAACUGGGAAACUUGGGUGCAGAAGAGGAAAGUGGAAUUCCAUGUGUAGCGGUGAAAUGCGCAGAGAUAUGGAGGAACACCAGUGGCGAAGGCGACUUUCUGGUCUGUAACUGACGCUGAUGUGCGAAAGCGUGGGGAUCAAACAGGAUUAGAUACCCUGGUAGUCCACGCCGUAAACGAUGAGUGCUAAGUGUUAGGGGGUUUCCGCCCCUUAGUGCUGCAGCUAACGCAUUAAGCACUCCGCCUGGGGAGUACGACCGCAAGGUUGAAACUCAAAGGAAUUGACGGGGACCCGCACAAGCGGUGGAGCAUGUGGUUUAAUUCGAAGCAACGCGAAGAACCUUACCAAAUCUUGACAUCCUUUGAAAACUCUAGAGAUAGAGCCUUCCCCUUCGGGGGACAAAGUGACAGGUGGUGCAUGGUUGUCGUCAGCUCGUGUCGUGAGAUGUUGGGUUAAGUCCCGCAACGAGCGCAACCCUUAAGCUUAGUUGCCAUCAUUAAGUUGGGCACUCUAGGUUGACUGCCGGUGACAAACCGGAGGAAGGUGGGGAUGACGUCAAAUCAUCAUGCCCCUUAUGAUUUGGGCUACACACGUGCUACAAUGGACAAUACAAAGGGCAGCUAAACCGCGAGGUCAUGCAAAUCCCAUAAAGUUGUUCUCAGUUCGGAUUGUAGUCUGCAACUCGACUACAUGAGGCUGGAAUCGCUAGUAAUCGUAGAUCAACAUGCUACGGUGAAUACGUUCCCGGGUCU